UACGGAGGGUGCAAGCGUUAUCCGGAUUCACUGGGUUUAAAGGGUGCGUAGGUGGGCUGGUAAGUCAGUGGUGAAAUCUCCAGGCUUAGCUUGGAAACUGCCAUUGAUACUAUCAGUCUUGAAUACCGUGGAGGUCAGCGGAAUAUGUCAUGUAGCGGUGAAGUGCUUAGAUAUGACAUAGAACACCAAUUGCGAAGGCAGCUGGCUACACGAAUAUUGACACUGAUGCACGAAAGCGUGGGGAUCAAACAGG
rnacentral:rRNA from 1 species